GAUGAACGCUGGCGGCGUGCCUAAUACAUGCAAGUCGAGCGAACAGACGAGGAGCUUGCUCCUUCGACGUUAGCGGCGGACGGGUGAGUAACACGUAGGUAACCUACCUAUAAGACUGGGAUAACUUCGGGAAACCGGAGCUAAUACCGGAUAAUAUUUCGAACCGCAUGGUUCGAUAGUGAAAGAUGGCUUUGCUAUCACUUAUAGAUGGACCUGCGCCGUAUUAGCUAGUUGGUAAGGUAACGGCUUACCAAGGCAACGAUACGUAGCCGACCUGAGAGGGUGGUCGGCCACACUGGAACUGAGACACGGUCCAGACUCCUACGGGAGGCAGCAGUAGGGAAUCUUCCGCAAUGGGCGAAAGCCUGACGGAGCAACGCCGCGUGAGUGAUGAAGGUCUUCGGAUCGUAAAACUCUGUUAUUAGGGAAGAACAAACGUGUAAGUAACUGUGCACGUCUUGACGGUACCUAAUCAGAAAGCCACGGCUAACUACGUG
rnacentral:rRNA from 1 species